rnacentral:rRNA from 1 species
UACACACCGCCCGUCACACCAUGGGAGUUGGUUCUACCUUAAGCAGGUGUGGUAACCGCAAGGAGCUAGCUUGCCACGGUAGGGUCAGUGACUGGGGUG